rnacentral:rRNA from 1 species
AGAGUUUGAUCCUGGCUCAGGAUGAACGCUGGCGGCGUGCUUAACACAUGCAAGUCGAACGAACCUUCGGGUUAGUGGCGGACGGGUGAGUAACGCGUGAGAAUCUGCCCUCAGGAGGGGGAUAACGGUUGGAAACGACCGCUAAUACCCCAUAUGCCUACUGGUGAAAUGAAUUUCGCCUGAGGAUGAGCUCGCGUCUGAUUAGCUAGUUGGUGAGGUAAUGGCUCACCAAGGCUUCGAUCAGUAGCUGGUCUGAGAGGAUGAUCAGCCACACUGGGACUGAGACACGGCCCAGACUCCUACGGGAGGCAGCAGUGGGGAAUUUUCCGCAAUGGGCGAAAGCCUGACGGAGCAACGCCGCGUGAGGGACGAAGGCCUCUGGGCUGUAAACCUCUUUUCUCAAGGAAGAAGAUAUGACGGUACUUGAGGAAUAAGCCACGGCUAAUUCCGUGCCAGCAGCCGCGGUAAUACGGGAGUGGCAAGCGUUAUCCGGAAUUAUUGGGCGUAAAGCGUCCGCAGGCGGCUUUUCAAGUCUGCUGUUAAAGCGUGGAGCUUAACUCCAUCAUGGCAGUGGAAACUGAAAGGCUUGAGUAUGGUAGGGGCAGAGGGAAUUCCCGGUGUAGCGGUGAAAUGCGUAGAUAUCGGGAAGAACACCAGUGGCGAAGGCGCUCUGCUGGGCCAUUACUGACGCUCAUGGACGAAAGCCAGGGGAGCGAAAGGGAUUAGAUACCCCUGUAGUCCUGGCCGUAAACGAUGAACACUAGGUGUCGGGGGGAAUC